CCUUCCCACUCCCCCUCCUUCCCUCCAUCUCCCUUCCUCCCGAUCCUCCCUCCGCUCCUCUCUAACACCCGCGCUUAAUAUGUUGCUCUCCAUCACUCCUGGAACUCACCCGUGGGAUUCGCCCUCGUGGUGGGGGGGAUACAAGGAGUGGGAGUACCAAAGUUGCGCAGAACCCAGCCAGACAUUAGCUCCCGCUCGCACCAUUGCGCAGCUCUUACGUACAUAAACCCGUCGCGGCCACCUAUGUACUACAUAUGUAUUAUACUUAUUAUUUUAAUCAUGAUUUAUGAGCGCGGCGUUGCCGGUUCUCGCGCUCCGGGCACGCCCAUUCCCUCUCUUGUCUCACUUUUCAGCCAUAUAUACGAAUACAUAGAAACGCGCGCGCGGAAUAGCAACGUCGCUUGAUCGAUACUUGAGAAACUUGCAAUAAAAAAAAAUGACUAUCGUGAAUACGUUUCUUCGAAGGUCCUGUGCGUAACUAUUUCCUGUUUUCAAAAAAAGGAUGCGAUAAUACUGCGAGAUAGGAACGAAAUCGCAGGAAGUACCGAGUACAUCGGAAGUACACCGGAAGAGGAGGAAUCUGAAUAUUUGCUUCAAAUAGUAUGGAAAUCCUUAAAUUAAUAUAUGAAAUCUCGAAAAA